AACGUAGGUUCCGAGCGUUAUCCGGAUUUACUGGGCGUAAAGCGCGUUCAGGCGGUUUGGCAAGUCGGGCAUGAAAUCUCUCGGCUCAACCGGGAGAGGUUGUCCGAUACUGCUGGACUUGAGGGCAGUAGAGGGUGGUGGAAUUCCGGGUGUAGUGGUGAAAUGCGUAGAUAUCCGGAGGAACACCAGUGGCGAAAGCGGCCACCUGGACUGUACCUGACGCUGACACGCGAAAGCCAGGGGAGCAAACGGGG
rnacentral:rRNA from 1 species